CAAAGAUUCUGGUUUUUUCUCUGACUCGGGGAUAUUUCUUCUGAGACAGGAAACGGGCAGUCUGUCUGUACGCAUUCUUUCAUUCACUUGAGUGUAGAAAGCAAGGAAAAUGAUGAUUCUGUACUCAUAUCGUCGCCUGCAGGUGGCACACUCACCAGACUACUCCGGGAUGCCACUGGAUAAAAAGCAAGCAACCCCAUGCACUCGGGAUCAGAGAAACGUACCAAGCAAAUGUCGCUAUGUUAAAAAACUGUCUGGCGUCUUUCCUUUUCAAACACGACCUCAGCCUCCUACGUGGUUCAGCACAGAUGUGUCAACCAAACACCACGUGGAGCAUUGAGAAAGUGCCACAAAUGCGUUGUUUUUCCAUCAGCUAUUUUCGGUUGCUUUCAUUAUUUGUUCAUCCACAGCCACAGCGUCUGCAAAGCCUCCUCUUCCAAUUAGUAGUUUUGUUCUGCAGUUUUGGCUUUCUUAACGCGUUAAGUAUUUCCACACAUAAACGUACCGGUUUUGAAAAUGACACAUAUUGACCACACCUUGCAACGAAAAGCGUAUUAUGGCAAUUAUGUUGGCAGUUACGAGUUAACGCAGAUAAGAAAUACGUCACUUGAAGUGUCUUUUGUUAUAAAUGGUGUGAUAUACUGAGGCUCUGUCACCUUUCAACCUGAAGGCGAAUAUACAUUAGCAUUUUUCUGGGAACCUCCACGCAUGCCUGUUAGACGUCAGUCCGCAUACUGCUGAAUAAGCACGCGUAUACCCGAGGUACUUUCGCCUUCAUGGUUCCCACCCCGUGCUUUCCUGUAAGCAGUUUCUCGGACAAUGAAGGGGCCUGUAAGCACCUCUCGCUUCAGAGCUGACUUCGUUCCGUGUGGCGGGCUUCUUCUUCCUCGCCCUGCCCUACGUGGCAUCGCCUGCAUCUGCACUGUCACCCUGUUCCCCGCAUGUGCAUGCUUAUUGCUCUGUUACUGGCAGCACCGCAUCUCAUCGCUCGUCUUGGCGUCCUCUGCUGCUUUCCAACAUAGAGAAGAUCCACUGUACCCAAGGCGACUCUUUGGGAGGCGAGAUGAUUCUGAUGACGGCGAAAACGAAUGGCCUUCAGACACCGGCCAUAAUAGGCACCGGUGGCCAGAAGGCACCGAAUUGUGGGGACCUCCCCCUAGCCCACUUUAUGCACCCUCAGGCGGCUCUGAUGACGAAGAGGAAGUGUUGAUAGUGCGAGGAAGACCUAGCGCUCCUCACAUGAGCAGCGCUGGCGGCGUUGCUGCAGGAGGCUUCGCCCGCGGGUCCUCUUCCAGACGGGCACGGUCUCGAAUUCCUUCGCAUUCUUUCUGGGGAGAUGAAGACAGACGUCAUACACACUUCAUGGGAGGGUCUGCAACACGCACCGGUGAAGGAGAUUCUCGAGGCAUUCAUGGCCCCUGUGUGCAUGAUGUGCUAGGUAUGGGGGGUGCCGCAGACCGUCGCGGCGAUUUUAAACAGAGAGCUUCAGGUAUGAAUGGAGAAUUCGACCCUGGCAUCGCAGAUGCUCAGACCUUCCAGCAGAGGCUGUUCCAACAACAACAGCAGAUGCUUCCCCCUUGGAACCCCGAAGAUGGCACUAAGAACACUCCGGGCACCAUUAUUCCUCUCAAUGUGGUGCCUCAACCGCACCCACAAGACCUUGGGCACCCGAUUCCCCAGCCAAUAUUUCUUGUUCCUGCUCAGUACGCUUCAAUACGGCAUUUGGUAAGGGAGCAAAACAACGAAUAGGGAAGAUAGUGGUGUUGGAAUCUAGGGACCAAACAGGAAGUGAUGGGUGUAACGCAAGGAAGAGACAGCAGAGCGGCUGUGCAUAGGAGACUACAAACGAUAAUGGGGGAGUGCUUCCACAGAUAGUCAGCCUGCGUCAGCGGAGCUCAUUUGAGGAAGCAAAAUAACUAAACGCAUCCAGGAGUCGUAAGAAUGGAGACGGCAGGAGAAUCAGAAACAGGGGAGAGCUCGACUGUUUCA
rnacentral:lncRNA from 1 species